CGGGUGAGUAAUGUAUGGGGAUCUGCCUGAUGGCGGGGGAUAACUACUGGAAACGGUAGCUAAUACCGCAUAAUGUCUGCGGACCAAAGCGGGGGACCUCCGGGCCUCUUGCCAUCGGAUGUGCCCAGAUGGGAUUAGCUAGUAGGUAAGGUAACGGCUUACCUAGGCGACGAUCCCUAGCUGGUCUGAGAGGAUGAUCAGCCACACUGGGACUGAGACACGGUCCAG
rnacentral:rRNA from 1 species